GACGAACGCUGGCGGCAGGCCUAACACAUGCAAGUCGAGCGAGGACUUCGUGCCUAUCUGCGGACGGGUGAGUAACGCGUGGUAACGUGCCCUUUGCUUCGGAAUAGCCCUGGGAAACUUGAAGUAAUACCGGAUGAGCCCUUUGGGGGAAAGAUUUAUCGGCGAAGGGUCGGCGCGUGUUGGAUUAGGUAGUUGGGGGGGUAAUGGCAUACCAACCCGACGAUGCAUAGCUGGUGUGAGAGGAUGCCAAGCCACACUGGGAAUGCGACCCGGACCACACUGCUACGGGAGGGAGCAGUGGGGAACAUUAGAGACUGAGGGAAAACGUAGUAUAGCCAUGCGGCGUGAGAGAUGAAGGGCUUAGGGUUGUAAAGUUCUUUGAGCUGAGAAGAUAAUGACGGUAACAGCAGAAGAAGCACCGGCUAACUCCGUG
rnacentral:rRNA from 1 species